rnacentral:rRNA from 1 species
UACAGAGGUCUCAAGCGUUGUUCGGAUUCAUUGGGCGUAAAGGGCGCGUAGGCGGCGGGGUAAGUCGGGUGUGAAAUCUCAGAGCUCAACUCUGAAACUGCACUCGAUACUGCUUUGCUAGAGGACUGGAGAGGAGAUUGGAAUUCACGGUGUAGCAGUGAAAUGCGUAGAUAUCGUGAGGAAGACCAGUGGCGAAGGCGGGUCUCUGGACAGUUCCUGACGCUGAGGCACGAAGGCCAGGGGAGCAAACGGG